rnacentral:rRNA from 1 species
UACAGAGGUCUCAAGCGUUGUUCGGAUUCAUUGGGCGUAAAGGGUGCGUAGGUGGCGCUGUAAGUCGGGUGUGAAAUUUCGGAGCUUAACUCCGAAACUGCAUUCGAUACUGCGGUGCUUGAGGACUGGAGAGGAGACUGGAAUUCAUGGUGUAGCAGUGAAAUGCGUAGAGAUCAUGAGGAAGACCAGUGGCGAAGGCGGGUCUCUGGGACGGUACUGACGCUGAGACGCGAAAGCGUGGGGAGCGAACAGG